UACGGAGGGUGCAAGCGUUGCUCGGAAUCACUGGGCGUAAAGGGCGUGUAGGCGGUUUCGUAUGUCUGGCGUGAAAGCCCCGGGCUCAACCCGGGAAGUGCGUUGGAAACUGCGAAACUAGAGUCUUGGAGAGGAAGGUGGAAUUCCAGGUGUAGCGGUGAAAUGCGUAGAUAUCUGGAGGAACACCGGUGGCGAAGGCGGCAUCCUGGACCAACACUGACACUGAUGAGCGAAAGCCAGGGGAGCAAACGGG
rnacentral:rRNA from 1 species